rnacentral:rRNA from 1 species
ACUCCUACGGGAGGCAGCAGUGGGGAAUAUUGCACAAUGGGCGCAAGCCUGAUGCAGCCAUGCCGCGUGUAUGAAGAAGGCCUUCGGGUUGUAAAGUACUUUCAGCAGUGAGGAAGGCGGGUACGUUAAUAGCGUGCUUGUUUGUACGUUAGCUGCAGAAGAAGCACCGGCUAACUCCGUGCCAGCAGCCGCGGUAAUACGGAGGGUGCGAGCGUUAAUCGGAAUUACUGGGCGUAAAGCGCAUGCAGGUGGUUUGUUAAGUCAGAUGUGAAAGCCCGGGGCUCAACCUCGGAAUUGCAUUUGAAACUGGCAGACUAGAGUACUGUAGAGGGGGGUAGAAUUUCAGGUGUAGCGGUGAAAUGCGUAGAGAUCUGAAGGAAUACCGGUGGCGAAGGCGGCCCCCUGGACAGAUACUGACACUCAGAUGCGAAAGCGUGGGGAGCAAACAGGAUUAGAUACCCUGGUAGGAUAGCG